rnacentral:lncRNA from 1 species
AAACAGUUUUAUCUGGCUGCAGCCAGUCUCAGAGGGCACAGCUUUUGCUGUAAUCAAUCAAUCAAUCCCCUGAACCCUGAGUUCAGGUGGGUUUAGGAUUUUAUACUCAUCAUGUAAGAGGAGGGGCUCAGAAGUUCACAUUGUAAUACUGAGACUCUCAAAUAACUCUCAGACCACACAGUCUCAUUCCAGUUAAGCCUUUAUUGCUGGCUCUUGGCAGACACUCUGCUCUCAAAAGAGUGAGAUGGUCGGAGUGGUGCCCCUGCCUUCAGUUGGCUCCAUAUUUAAGCACAAAAACCACAAAAGGGACAUUUGGGGUUCAGGCAAUGCAAACAAGGCUGAAAGUUGCAGUCAGUCAGUCUCCAGUUGGCACCAUAGAUCAUUCUGUGUUCUUGGGGGAUUUUCAUGAAUACAAACUGCCCCAGUCAUGACUUUUUUGUGUGUCCUGGCUAAGUUCACAAAAUGGAGUCGCCAUAGUCAAGUUGUCACAUCACACAUAUAAAAACAGCUUUUUCUUUCUCUGUUCUGACCAAGUUAACCCUUCAAGGACAGCACCUGAGAAGGGGAGAGCUUCUUCUCCCCUUUCUUCCCUCCCCCACCAGCUGUUUCCAUGAAGCCUAGUUGGUAAGUUCUCUGUGAAGCCCAGCUGAAGGCCAGAGGCCUUGUUUGCACAUUUCUACAAACUACUAUACUGGAUGCAAGUGUGUAAAAAACUAGUAAGGGGAGUUUGAGUCCAGCACUUGGAGUGCUAAUUUCUUUCAGACUAGUGGCCCAGAAAUUAGGGCAACACAAAAAUAGGAAGUUUGUCUACACUGAACUUUUUUGUGGACACUGUUUUGUUGACAGUCC